rnacentral:rRNA from 1 species
UCCUACGGGGGGCAGCAGUGGGGAAUAUUGCACAAUGGGGGGGACCCUGAUGCAGCGACGCCGCGUGAAGGAAGAAGUAUCUCGGUAUGUAAACUUCUAUCAGCAGGGAAGAAAGAAAUGACGGUACCUGACCAAGAAGCCCCGGCUAACUACGUGCCAGCAGCCGCGGUAAUACGUAUGGGGCAAGCGUUAUCCGGAUUUACUGGGUGUAAAGGGAGCGUAGGCGGCCUGACAAGCCUGAUGUGAAAUACCGGGGCCCAACCCCGGGGCUGCAUUGGGAACUGCCAGGCUGGAGUGCCGGAGAG